rnacentral:snRNA from 1 species
GAGACAGGUUAGUUUUACCCU